UGUUUAUUAGAUACAGAACCAACACGCUCCAUUCUUGGGGUGUAAAAGGAGGUGAUUCAUAGUAACCGAACGGAUCGCAUUAUGAUCAUAUUAUUAUGGUUGGCGAUAGAUCAUUCAAGUU
rnacentral:rRNA from 1 species